rnacentral:rRNA from 1 species
CUUGAACGCUGGCGGCAUGCUUUACACAUGCAAGUCGAACGGUAACAGGCCUUCGGGUGCUGACGAGUGGCGAACGGGUGAGUAAUGCAUCGGAACGUACCCAGAGGUGGGGGAUAACGCAGCGAAAGCUGUGCUAAUACCGCAUGUGAUCUGAGGAUGAAAGCGGGGGACCGAGCAGCAAUGUUUGGCCUCGCGCCUUUGGAGCGGCCGAUGUCGGAUUAGCUAGUUGGUGGGGUAAAGGCCUACCAAGGCGACGAUCCGUAGCUGGUCUGAGAGGACGACCAGCCACACUGGGACUGAGACACGGCCCAGACUCCUACGGGAGGCAGCAGUGGGGAAUUUUGGACAAUGGGCGCAAGCCUGAUCCAGCAAUGCCGCGUGCGGGAAGAAGGCCUUCGGGUUGUAAACCGCUUUUGGCAGGAACGAAACGGUGUCCGCUAAUACCGGGCGCUAAUGACGGUACCUGCAGAAUAAGCACCGGCUAACUACGUG